ensembl:lncRNA
GUGCGUUGUAUUUCUCUCCGAAUUGACUUUUUGUGUGUGCCUGUUAAAUCUACGAGCUGAGAUGAGGAAACUCCUCCCCGCGAGUAAAUAUUCAAUCACUAUGCUCUAAAGUUAGGGGGCGCUGAACCAUCAUUCAACACUUUAACAUGGCGAGCGGCGGUGAAGCGAAGCUACAGUACGAGGAAGCGCCGGCGUCUUUCAAAUCCGUGGUGUGGAGACAUUUCGGUUUUGCCGUUGAGUAUAAUGCCGAGGAAGAAAAAACGACAGAUCAUAUCUGAAAGAAGCACACUCAUCCAGGUUUAACCGUGGCCCGUCAUUCUGCUGAAGGUGACAAACCACAUAGGAAUCCUGAUGCCUUUCCAGUGUGAACCUGUAGUUUUUAAUUCCUAAAGAAAUCAGGACACGAUGACUGGAUUUUAUCUCAGAUGAUCUGUAUUGAAACAUCACCAAGCGUGUUAACUGCCAUGCUGUGGACCCGACAGCUGAUCCUAUCAAAUUACAACGGGAUGCUGAGUCAGUUUCUGAGUGUAGUUAGAGCUCAGUGCCUGGCUGGUGGUGCGAGAUUGCUAUCGCAGGUGAUUCAUCAGUGACACUGGAAAGGAGGGCAGGAGGACUACAAUUAACCUUGGUUCCUUCGGCCAUGAAUCAAGUCAGAAUAGGGAGAAGGUCUUCAAGAUAAACAGGGGCUGCUGGUUGCCUUUUCUCCUCCAGGAUUUAUGGACGCGUCUCAAUGAAUAGAGUGGCAGUUCUGACUGUCCCACGCUUCACUGGUCAAGCUGACACCAGUCCUACAGGUGAAGAGGUCAGUGACAUAGAGCAGACCUACCUGACCGAAAGAGGUCAUGCUGGGGUCAGUGACCAGGGUCGAAGUCCUCUUGACAUUUUGGAAAUAUUAGAAAUAUUUUGGUCUUUUUCAGGACAAUGCUCUAUCACAAUCGAAAAAGUGUUGCAACCCUGUCA